GACGAACGCUGGCGGCGUGCUUAACACAUGCAAGUCGAACGCUCAAGACCUGGCUUUUGUUGUGUUGGAUUAGUGGCGAACGGGUGAGUAACACGUGGGUAACCUGCCCUCUUCUUUGGGAUAACGCCCGGAAACGGGUGCUAAUACUGGAUAUUCACUGGCCUUCGCUUGGGGGUUGGUGGAAGGGUUUGUUCUGGUGGGUUAUGGGCUCGCGGCCUAUCAGCUUGGUGGUGGGGUGAUGGCCUACAAAGGCUUUGACGGGUAGCCGGCCGGCGAGGGUGACCGGUCACAUUAGGCAUGAGAUACGGCCCAGACUGCUACGGGAGGCAGCAGUGGGGAAUAUUGCACAAUGGGCGAAAGGCGGAUGCAGCGACGACGCGUGAGGGAUGGAGGCCUUCGGGUUGUAAACCUCUUGGGCGAAUGGACAAGCCGGAACUGUGGGUUGUGGUGAGGGUAGUGGGUAAAGAAGCGCCGGCUAACUACGUG
rnacentral:rRNA from 1 species